GGGAUACAUGCAGGCGGCGGUUUCGGAAGGAACCGUCGACGGACAGUGCCACAGAAAACAAACCGCCCCGGUUCGCCGGAGCAAGGGUGAAAAGGUGGGGUAAGAGCCCACCGCGCCACGCGCAAGCAAGGCGGCACGGUAAACCCCAUCGGGUGCAAGGCCAAAUAGGGGGCCAGGGACGGUCCGUCCCGCGAUCGGAAACGAUCACGGCUCCGGGUAGGGUCGCAACAGAUAAAUGAUCCUCUCCACCGCGUGCGGUGUAGACAAAAUUCGGCUUACAACCCUUCCAAGGUG
rnacentral:RNase_P_RNA from 1 species